CACCCCACCAGCAUUUACUGAUGGGUGAUGUUGUGGACUGAACAUUUGUGUCUCCCCAAAAUUCCUAUGUUGAAACCCUAACCCCCAAUGUGAUGGUAUUUGGAGAUGAGCCUUUGGGAAGUAAUGAGAUAUAGAUGAGAUCAUGAGGGUGCCACUGUCACAAUGGGAUUAGUGCCCUUAUAAGAAAAGACACCAGAGAGCUCACUGUCUCUUUCUGUGCACAUAUAAAGAGGAGGUCACAUGAGCACAUAGUGAGAUCGUAGCCCCAUACAAGUCAAAAGAAGAGCCCUCAGAAUGAAACCUACCUUGCCAGCACCUUGAUCUUGAACUUCUCAGCCUCCAGAAGGUUUCCCUCAGCAUCGGAACCACAGCACCUCUUAGCUGCACGUGGGUACCACCAGCCCGAUUUCUCCCUGAAAAUCUCUCCAUUCAUCGCUGUUCAACUUAAGGCAGUGAAAAAUUCUGUUAAAAUGCAAAUCGUACCCUGGAGGGGAAGCACAUUAAACUACUACUCUCCAUUUAAACUUUUUUGUGAAUUCGUUUUCUUGAUUGGUUUUUGAUUCAUUGAAGAAGCCCACCCAGAGUG
rnacentral:lncRNA from 1 species